CCUACGGGUGGCUGCAGUGGGGAAUAUUGGACAAUGGGGGGAACCCUGAUCCAGCCAUGCCGCGUGUGUGAAGAAGGCCCUCGGGUUGUAAAGCACUUUCAGUGAGGAAGAACGCCUGGUGGUUAAUACCCAUCAGGAAAGACAUCACUCACAGAAGAAGCACCGGCUAACUCCGUGCCAGCAGCCGCGGUAAUACGGAGGGUGCGAGCGUUAAUCGGAAUUACUGGGCGUAAAGCGCGCGUAGGUGGCUUGAUAAGCCGGUUGUGAAAGCCCCGGGCUCAACCUGGGAACGGCAUCCGGAACUGUCAAGCUAGAGUGCAGGAGAGGAAGGUAGAAUUCCAGGUGUAGCGGUGAAAUGCGUAGAGAUCGGGAGGAAUACCAGUGGCGAAGGCGGCCUUCUGGACUGAAACUGACACUGAGGUGCGAAAGCGUGGGUAGCAAACAGGAUUAGAUACCCUGGUAGUC
rnacentral:rRNA from 1 species